rnacentral:lncRNA from 1 species
GGCGCGGGCGGACGAUGGAACUCCACAUCCUGGAGCACCGGCUGCAAGUUGCCAGCGUCGCCAAGGAGAGUAUCCCGCUGUUCACCUACGGGCCUGAUCAAACUUGCCUUCCUGUUCUCCAAGACCAGGUGCAAGUUCUUCAGUCUGACUGAGACACCAGAGGAUUACACUAUCAUUGUCGAUGAGGAAGGAUUCCUAGAGCUGCCCUCCUCGGAGCACCUGAGUGUGGCGGAUGCCACCUGGCUGGCCCUGAACGUGGUGUCCGGCGGUGGCAGCUUCUCCAGCUCCCAGCCUAUUGGCAUGACCAAGAUCGCCAAGUCAGUCAUCGCCCCACUGGCUGACCAGAACAUAUCCGUGUUCAUGCUGUCCACGUAUCAGACAGACUUCAUCCUGGUGAGCUGACCAUCACAGACACGCCUUGCACACUUGGGCCCGCCUCUGACACACUCACUCCCAUCUCCCACCCCUUGCAGCCUUGCCCUUCCACGCUAUUCCAGGGUGGGGGCAGAGUCUCAGGGUGAGAGGUUGGUGCCCCAGGGCCACCAGGCACACACAGCCUCAACUUCUUGCCCCUAGGUGCUCAAGCGGGACCUGCCCUUUGUCACCCACACGUUGUCAUCAGAGUUCACCAUCCUGUGGUCAGUGGCUAGACUGUAGCAGCCGAGAACCUCGGCAUCACCAGUGGCUUCGUGAAGCCCAAGCUGGGUGAGCUGGGGGCGGGGGUUUGUGCGGGGAAACCUCACGAAGUUACCAGGCCAAGCCGUAGACCAGCCUUGCUCUCAGCACGGGCUUCUGCCCACUGAGCAUGAAUGGAGUGCCAGGCAGAACGGGAUGCAAAGGGCAAGGUGUGGUGGCUCAUGCUUGUAAACCCAGCACUUUGGGAGGCCGAGGCAGGCAAUUCACCUGAGGUCAGGAGUUUGAGACAAGCCUGACCAACAUGGAGAAACCUGGUCUCUACUAAAAAUACAAAAUUA